CAGUGGUUAUCAACAAUCAGCCGACACAGCCAGAGAAUUCGCUUCGGGUUGGAACACGUAAUGGAACACGUGACUGGACAUCUGGCCUCUGCGGUUGCUGCGAAGAUAUUGGCUCGUGGUACGAUUUGCAACGACUGUCUGGUAAUAUCUUUUUGCGGCCCUUGUGCUGUCUGCCAAAUGCAGCGAGAGCUGUAUGCCAUGGGGUUAUAGUUUACAUGCCUGUUGAACUGCACAAAUUCGGAAUGAAAAUGUGCAUUUUCUAUAAAUCAACAAAGUGUCUUAUCAUUAUGAUGUAACUUUUGCUUUUUAAUUAUUUGUUUGUGUAUGUUUUUCAACUGUGCGAUUGCAUAAUAAUGAACAAGGAAAUGUUAAGCAGAUGCAUCGAUUUCACCCUAAAUGCUCUAGUUUUUACUUCAUUUGUCCCGCUGGAUUUGAUUUCAAACAGCACUUUAUUAUAUCUUUCGAUUAUAUUUACUUUUCCAUUCAGGUAAACUAUUGUGCUUAUUAAUAAAGCGUGCAUUACAAUAAAAUAUUUGGACACUUCAUAAAUACGUGCUGUUAAAUAUGAGAUUGUCUUUGAUAAUAUAUGUACAUUACUUAAAAAAAAAAUGCCCUUAUCGACAAACGAAUCGGGCGAUUCGCAUAAGAUGAAGUGAAAGGAAUUAUUGUAUCUAGACAAAAACAUCAUAUUUUGUUUUUAUAAUAAGAGGGCAACGGGCGCUAAACAGAGCCCAGGAAACUUAACUAUUCUUAAAGGUGGACAUAAGAAGAAAACAAUAUUGUGAAACAUAAAUAUAGCAUUUCUAAGAACAUAAUUAUAAAAUCUUUUGGUGAUUGAUUAUAUCAUUGGAACAAAUGUCCUGACCAAUUUUUAUGAAAAAUCGACAAUUACUGGGACUUCUCAAUUGUCAACAAGGUUUUACAUAUAAGGUUAACUGCCCGGUCCGUUGGAUGUCAUAUUUAACAUCGAAAUGGAACCAUUUUCGAACGCAGCCGAGAUAAAACAUCCAGAACAAUUGUAAGUCUCAAUCAAGAUAUCAAAAGAACAUUCUCGGCAGCUUUCAUUAAAAUUGAACUAAAAUUUGACUUAUAGAAUGUUCAAAAUGUUUCGCUAUCGCCAUUUAAAGAAAAACUGCAACCAUCCUCGGGGCCUUGUUUUUAAACAACUGGAACAUCUUUCAGACUCACCUUGCAAUGAUAUUUCCAAUUAAAACAGCAGUGAAACCUGUUACAAAACACAUGUCUUUGAUAAUCACACCAACAUUAAAAAGUGAUUGCAUUAGUAACUUAUCACCGAUGUUGGUCUGACAUCAAGGGUCUUUGAUGUUAUCGCUCAGUCGGGGCAAAUUUCUAAAGAGUGUAAGCUGUUAGCUUUUUACACAAUCACCAUAUAACCAUUUUAGAAGACAUAUAUCAAAACUGUUGUCCUAUAAAAAUGCAAGCACAGUUGAGUGAGUAUUAAAUGAGUAAGCAUGAUAACGGAUAUGAUAUGUGAAUCAAAUGUCAAAUAAUAUUCAUAUGAAACAAUUGUUGUUCCUCUAGGAUGUUCACCACUGUGGUUUUCCGCAAUAAUAAAGAUACUUAAAUCUGAA